AAAUUGAAGAGUUUGAUCAUGGCUCAGAUUGAACGCUGGCGGCAGGCCUAACACAUGCAAGUCGAACGGUAACAGGAAGCAGCUUGCUGAUUCGCUGACGAGUGGCGGACGGGUGAGUAAUGUCUGGGAAACUGCCUGAUGGAGGGGGAUAACUACUGGAAACGGUAGCUAAUACCGCAUAAUGUCGCAAGACCAAAGAGGGGGACCUUCGGGCCUCUUGCCAUCGGAUGUGCCCAGAUGGGAUUAGCUAGUAGGUGGGGUAACGGCUCACCUAGGCG
rnacentral:rRNA from 1 species